AAACACAUAUGGGGUAUGGGAAUGUGAUUCAUUGCAAGAAGUGAACAAGAUAUAAGCACAUUGCAUAAAGGUUACAAACGUUUAAGGUAAUCAUAGACAUAAGAACUUGUAAGUAAACACAUUAGAGCUGGUGCUGAAAUUAGAACUAGGAUAUACCAAUUUCAUAAAGAGACAAGCAAAAGAAAGCGGAAGUCUUGCAAAGAAGCCAUAGUACAAACAGCAAGAGAACAGUUACUUACCAAGCAAGGAACAAUGCAAGAAAAUAAUCAUGUAUCAAUUAGAAUCAAUCAGUAGUAGAAGUCCCUUUAAUUAAGGAGCUCAAAUUUGAACGGUAAAGAGCAUAAGUUAUUUAAGGAAUGAGAUCAAGUACACAUAUUCUGCAUAGCAUACAAAUAAGGGGAAAAUACAUAGGGGUUUGAUUAAAGGAACAAAGUUUGAAAUACAAUUUUAAUUAAAUAAGACAAGAACAAAGUAAAUUAAAUAGUACAUAGUAAAUUAGGGAAUCAGGGAUUCAAAAAUCACUAAAGAACAAAAUCAAGAAUAGGGGAAUCGAAAGGUUAAAGUGAAAUUUCAAAUAAAACAAGAAAAAUAUCAAUUAUGCUUACACAAGGAAGUCUGAAAUCAGUCCCAAAAUUGAACGACAUUAUAGAUGGACAAGCAGUGUAUAUAAAGAAUGCACAACAUUAGGCGUGUGAGGUUAAAGCAUAGCAAAAAGAAACAGUAGUGCUAAUGAAACAUGAUAGCCAUAUAGGCUAGUCUAGUAACAGGGAGAAGGGGGUAUCAGAAGCAUGCCAAAGAGGUCAAGUAAACAAUGUCUUAUAGAGUUUAGCAAAAAGUCAGAACCACAUGGAGAAACAAAGUUGAUGAAACAAAUUCUGGAACUCAAAGAUUAGGUCUUUGAAACCAAGCCAGUUUAGAGAUGAUAAACAAACAAAUCACAUAACGAGUGGACUCAAAACCCAAAUGAAACCCCAAAUUCUAGGGUUUCUAAACGAAAUAAGUUUAGAAAACUCAAAGGGACUGAGACCUUAAGCAUGUAUGUCCCAGAAAACUUCAUGAAAAUAAAUAAGAGGGAAAUCAUGGAAAAUACAGUAGGUGAAAUCAAAAGAACAAGGUAUAAGAAAACACAGCAGAAGAAAACACAUAAGAAUCACAGUAGAGCAUGUAAAAUCAGAGAAAUCCUAAGUCGGAGAACAUGAAAGGUUGGAAAGCAAACUUUUGAAAGAAACUUUGGGAAAUCAUUUGAAAUCUUAAAAUAAACACAGAUCUUGAGAAAUUAGGAAAAUCUCUAAAGGUUGAAGCGAGAAAGCCUGGAAAAGUCAUGAUCUAACUUAGAGAGGCUUAAAAGACCAAAAGCAACCGGAGCAAGGCCCGAGAUGGAUGGGAUCUUUGAAUAGAUGAAGAUCUUAGUGAAGACCCCUGAGGUCCUUUCUCGAUCCUUCAAACAGCGGCCAUGCAGGAGCCGUAUGAGGCAAGUACAAGCGUUCAAUGGCUUUGGAAGCCAUGGAUUCAGGCAGUAUUUUGGACGAUAACAGGAGGAAGGAGGCUAGGGUUAGGUUUAGAUCUUAGAGAGAAUCAAAGAGGAUAGCAGAUUCAAG
rnacentral:lncRNA from 1 species